UCCUACGGGGGGCAGCAGUGGGGAAUAUUGCACAAUGGGCGAAAGCCUGAUGCAGCAACGCCGCGUGAGCGAUGAAGGCCUUCGGGUCGUAAAGCUCUGUCCUCAAGGAAGAUAAUGACGGUACUUGAGGAGGAAAGCCCCGGCGAACUAACGUGCCCA
rnacentral:rRNA from 1 species